rnacentral:rRNA from 1 species
AGAGUUUGAUCCUGGCUCAGAACGAACGCUGGCGGCGUGGAUAAGACAUGCAAGUCGCACGGAGAAAAGAUAGUUUACUAGCUUUUCUGAGUGGCGCACGGGUGAGUAACACGUGAGCAACCUGCCUCUUAGUGGGGGAUAGCCCUGGGAAACCGGGAUUAAUACCGCAUAUCAUCGCAAGAUGAAAGCAGCAAUGCGCUAAGAGAGGGGCUCGCGGCCUAUUAGUUAGUUGGUGAGGUAACGGCUCACCAAGGCGAUGACGGGUAGCCGGUCUGAGAGGAUGUCCGGCCACACUGGAACUGAGACACGGUCCAGACACCUACGGGUGGCAGCAGUCGAGAAUCAUUCACAAUGGGGGAAACCCUGAUGGUGCGACGCCGCGUGGGGGAAGAAGGUCUUCGGAUUGUAAACCCCUGUCAUGUGGGAGCAAGCUAGCAAUAGUUGAUAGUACCACAAGAGGAAGAGACGGCUAACUCUGUGCCAGCAGCCGCGGUAAUACAGAGGUCUCAAGCGUUGUUCGGAAUCACUGGGCGUAAAGGGUACGUAGGCUGUACCAUAAGUCGGGCGUGAAAGGCAGGGGCUCAACCUCUGGAGUGCGCUUGAUACUGUGGUACUUGAGUCAU